CGCCGCGCCACCUUCCUGUUGAAGUGAGCAAGGCACAACAAGGAAAGCACACAGGAAUGGCCAGCCCUGGCUCUCCUAUCAGCACAGGCUUCCCAACACACUUCCUAGCACACCAUCAUGCUGUUACCUAACCAGGACCAGUGGACCCCACCAAGCCUCUAGGUCACCAGGCUGCUCGUUAUGGCGCACAACCUGUCACCAUCUUUACGUGCACCUGAGCGUCGUCAGACUCACCUGGACUCCAUCACUUCCCUGAUUACCUUCCCUAUAUAUGUCACUCCCUUUGGUUCCUUCCCCAGGCGUUAUUGUUUCUGUUUCAUGUCUGUGCUUUGUUCGAGGUUCUUGUUUUGCAUUAUGUUCUGUUUAUUUUAUUAAAACACUCACU